rnacentral:rRNA from 1 species
CCUACGGGAGGCUGCAGUGGGGGAUAUUGCACAAUGGGGGGAACCCUGAUGCAGCGACGCCGCGUGGGUGAAGAAGCGCCUCGGCGCGUAAAGCCCUGUCAGCAGGGAAGAAAAUGACGGUACCUGAAGAAGAAGCCCCGGCUAACUACGUGCCAGCAGCCGCGGUAAUACGUAGGGGGCAAGCGUUAUCCGGAUUUACUGGGUGGAAAGGGGGCGCAGACGGCGAUGCAAGCCAGGAGGGAAAGCCCGGGGCCCAACCCCGGGACUGCGCUUGGAACUGCGUGGCUGGAGUGCAGGAGGGGCAGGCGGAAUUCCUGGUGUAGCGGUGAAAUGCGUAGUUAUCAGGAGGAACACCGGUGGCGAAGGCGGCCUGCUGGACUGCAACUGACGUUGAGGCCCGAAAGCGUGGGGAGCAAACAGGAUUAGAUACCCGGGUAGUC